UCUCUCGCUCUGACUAUCUCUCGCCUCCUGCUGCCGCCAGCCCUUCCCCCUCGACUGCAGACUCAAAAGCAUUCUCUUCAUCUGCUCCUCUCUCUUCCUCUGCCCUCUCUUCCUCUACUGUCACAACACAACCACCUCCCAGACUUACACGCAGAGUCAAUAAGGUAAUCAUCUUUGCUGA